rnacentral:lncRNA from 1 species
GCGGGGAGAGGCGCCAGUUGGGGGUCCGGUCGGCCACGCCACCUACGCCGGGACGGCUGCCUCCGCGGCGCGACGCUCCCACGGGCUUUCCCACCGCGGGGACGGCCCUCCGGGGGUUGACUUAGCUGGGAUGCAGAAUAGAAGCUGGGCCUUUGUCUGACUACCCUGCAACAGUCAGCCACAGACGGGAAGGCAGCGCAGGAAACUGAGGCCAAAGGAGCCGCGCUUCCUCAUGAGCAUGAAGCGGCAAAGCCUGAACUAGAAGCUUCUAACGCCUAACCGUCCUCUUGCCGCACCAGGACCUACCUCUGCAAGGCCCUUCCUGACUUUUUCCUUAGAAUGUGUGUAUAUGUGUCUUUUUCCUUUUCUGAUGCUAAGACACCUCAGAAACACCAAUGUUAAGCAGAUUUCCAUCGUUGGAGGUUAAAACACCCGAAUACAAGUGUUUUCUUGAGUGUGGCAUCUGGUCAGAUGUUUUAUGGGUUGGUUUGUUUUUAAAAAAAAAAAAUUUCCUGUUAGAUGGGUGGUAAGAACCAGUCAGAGUUUGUAAACCCACCAAGCACGAGGCGGUCGGACCGUCCAGAUUCUGGAGUCCAGAAGACACCAAACGUUCUCAGAAUGCCGAACGCGGGCGCCACCUGGUGGGACUAGAACGCUUAUUGUCCCAAAUCAGCAUAGCACACAGUUCCCAUAAAUCUUAAAAAUUCCCAUCCAAGGCUCAUUUCCGUGUGACUAAAAGUCAUAUUCUCUGUUCUCGUGACUCCAAGUAAAAAUGUCCCUAAAGAGCCAAAGUAUCUUCACUGUAUAAACUAAUAAUCUAUUGGUUUGGGGAAUUUUAUUUUUUGUGAUCAAUGUUACUUUAGCCUUUCUAUGAUAUACAUAUAAAUAAAAAAGUUUUCUUCCA